AUUGCGCAGCCUCCACACGUCGGGGUCGGAGCACGUUCGCCGACGUUCACGCGCCGCCGGGGCCGAAGCAGAGGGAGCGCGACCACCUCGGCGACGGCCAGCCGCCGACGUGCAGCCACCGGCGAACCCCCCCUCUCCCACCCUCCCUACUUUCCGCCGGUGAAGGGUUGGUCCGAGGUCUCAGCACGUUUGCCACUGUUCACGUGCCGGACCAAAUCAGAGGAGGGUGACUACCUCAGGAACGGUCGAUCGGCGUCUAUUGGCUUCCCUCCAGUGAAGGUUCAUACAUUUGCAUGGAUCAGGAAGAGCAUGUAAUUUGUGGCAUAGAGGAUGCCCGUCGCCUCGUGGGCCUUCCACCCCCAAUCCAUAUCACGAUGACAGAGUGUCUGGUAAAGGACGCGGGAGAGGUGCUGAAGCUACUUGAUGAGAACAUUACCAGUGGGAGAUGGACUGUCUCAGAUGAGACUGUAGCCCUCCUCAGGGUUCUUGCAGAAGGUUGUGAGGAUCUGAUGUAUGCUAAGAAGGAAUUAACUGACACUGUCAAGGCUGCACAGGAUGACCUGAUCACGUUGGGAGGCAACACCCUAUCAGUGGAGGAACAGCUUUUGCUGCCAGAGAAAGAAGAUCGUCGUAUUUUGGUUCUCCGUGCACUUAACCUUCCACCGGACAGCAAGCCAUCUCGGAGCUUUGACGUGGAGAACAUCGAUGCCGUGCUUGCUGCGCGUGGUCGGCUCCGUGGUCAGAUUGUACAGGCCCGAGCAGACAUGGAGGGUCUGAGGCAGUACAUCACGGAGACGUGGUUGCCGUGGGUAGAGCAGCGGUUGAACACUCAUCUCACCCUGGGAGAGCCAGUUAUGCCGUAGAGUGAUUCCUUCACAGUGUUGUUUUGAGUCUUCAUCAUGAAACUUGUUGCCUUUAGCUUACUGAUGUCUCCGUAUAUGUGCCUCUUCUAAACUGUAGUUUCCAGAAUCUGCAUGUCCCAGGAUUGACUAGUAACCACUUAUUUCCUGAAUCUGCAUGUCCCAGCAGGAUAACUAAGUUGUUGGUACUGCCAUGUUAAUUUGUUGUUUUGGAUGCUACUUUCCCCCAGAUAUUUCUGUUAUCCACUGUAAUAUAUUCACUCACCUUUAUAGCAUGACUCUCUAGCCCAUUGCUGGUUAGUUUUGAGCUU